rnacentral:rRNA from 1 species
UACGUAGGGGGCAAGCGUUGUCCGGAUUUAUUGGGCGUAAAGAGCGUGUAGGCGGCUUUACAGGUCCGUUGUGAAAACUCGAGGCUCAACCUCGAGACGCCGGUGGAAACCGUAAAGCUAGAGUCCGGAAGAGGCAAGUGGAAUUCCCGGUGUAGCGGUGAAAUGCGCAGAUAUCGGGAGGAACACCAAUGGCGAAGGCAGCUUGCUGGGACGGUACUGACGCUGAGGCGCGAAGGUCAGGGGAGCAAACGGG